rnacentral:rRNA from 1 species
AAUGUGGAUUAAUACCCCGUAAUAUCGUUGAGAGGCAUCUCUUGGCGAUUAAAGCUCCGGCACUCGAAGAUGGGCGUGCGUCUGAUUAGGUAGUUGGUGAGGUAACGGCUCACCAAGCCGACGAUCAGUAACUGGCGUGAGAGCGCGACCAGUCACACGGGCACUGAGACACGGGCCCGACUCCUACGGGAGGCAGCAGUAAGGAAUAUUGGUCAAUGGACGCAAGUCUGAACCAGCCAUGCCGCGUGGAGGAUGAAGGUCCUCUGGAUUGUAAACUUCUUUUAUCUGGGAAGAAAUGUAUUUUUUCUAAAGUACUUGACGGUACCAGAUGAAUAAGCACCGGCUAACUCCGUGCCAGCAGCCGCGGUAAUACGGAGGGUGCAAGCGUUAUCCGGAUUCACUGGGUUUAAAGGGUGCGUAGGCGGAUUUGUAAGUCCGUGGUGAAAUCUCCGAGCUUAACUCGGAAACUGCCAUGGAUACUAUAAGUCUUGAAUGUUGUGGAGGUUUGCGGAAUAUGUCAUGUAGCGGUGAAAUGCUUAGAUAUGACAUAGAACACCGAUUGCGAAGGCAGCAGGCUACACAAAUAUUGACGCUGAGGCACGAAAGCGUGGGGAUCAAACAGGAUUAGAUACCCUGGUAGUCCACGCCCUAAACGAUGAUUACUCGACAUUUGCGAUACACAGCAAGUGUCUGAGCGAAAGCAUUAAGUAAUCCACCUGGGA